UGUUGAAGAAGCUCGAUCGAAGCCUGCCUGCAAUAGAAGUCCGAAAGAAAUUCGUUCACAAUAGAGGCUCGGGUGGAGGCUUACAGUAGAAAUCCAACGUGGACCGCUUGUAGUAGAAAUUUGAAGUAGAUCGCUUGUAGUAGUAGCUCAGAGUAGAUCGCUUGUAGUAGAAGCUCGGAGUAGAUCGCUUGUAAUAGAAGCUCGAAG
rnacentral:lncRNA from 1 species